AAGUCCGAAGAAAGUAAAGACAGAGAUGCAUCCCUUGACCUCCCGAUUGUCCUAAGGAAAGGUACCAGAUCAUGUACAAAAUAUCCACUGCAGAGUUACUUGUCCUACAACAACCCGUCUCCUGAGUUCAAGGCUCUCACUACAAAUCUAGACACAGUGGUGAUACCAAACAGUAUACACACAGUAGUAGAAAGCCCUGAAUGGAAAGCCGCAGUCAUGGAAGAAAUGGGGGCUCUCGAGAAAAAUCAUACGUGGGCCCAAGUCACUCUUUCAAAUGGUCAUAAAGCAGUCAGAUGUAAAUGGGUGUUUACAAUAAAGUAUAGGCCCGAUGGAACAGUUGAUAGAUACAAGGCCAGAUUAGUUGCCAGGGGCUUUACUUAGACUUUCGGGGUUGAUUAUUCUGAGGCUUUUUCACCAGUCGCAAAGCUAAACAUAGUAUGGGUUCUGCUUUCAGUUGUGUUAAUAAAGAUUGGUCCAUUCACCAGCUUGAUGUGAAGAAUGCCUUUCUCAACGGAGAGUUGGAGGAAGAAGUCUACUUGAGUCCUCUCCUAGGAUUCGAGAAAUAGUUUAACCACCGGGUUUGCAGACUAAGGAAGUCCUUGUAUGGGUUAAAACAGUCCCCAAGGGCUUGGUUUGGAGAUGAUACCUCAGAGGUUGACUGAUUAAAGGCGAAGAUGGCUGAGGAUUUGAAAUCAAGGACCUUGGAAGACUAAGGUACUUCCUUGGAAUGGAAGUAGCUCGAUCGAAAGAAGGGAUUUCAAUUUUAUACUCUGGACUUGUUUAAGGAAACAGGUAUGACAGGUUGCAAACUAGUUGACACUCCUAUAGAAGCGAAUGCAAAGUUAAGUGAUAUGAGUGAAGAUGUUCCAGUUAGCAAAGAAAGAUAUCAGCGGCUUAUUGGAAAAUUAAUAUAUCUCUCCCAUACUAGGCUCGACAUUUUAUAUACUGUGAGUAUGGUAAGUCAGUUUAUGCAGUCUCCAUACGAAGAACAUACGAGGGCAGUGGAACGCAUUUUUAUAUAUCUGAAAACUUCUCCAGGGAAAGGCUUGAUGUUCAGGAAAACUGAAAGGCGAUGCAUCGAGGCAUACACAAAUGUAGAUUGGGCAGGGUCUGUAGUAGAUAGAAAGUCGACAUCAGGGUAUUGUACCUUUGUGUGGGGUAACCUUGUUACAUGGAGGAGCAAAAAAACAAGGUGUUGUUGCCAGAAGUAGUGCCGAGGCUGAGUAUAGGGUCAUGAGCCUGGGAAUCUGUGAAGAAAUUUGGCUUGAAAAAGUUUUAAGAGACCUUGACCAAGAUCAUACUGGUCCAGUGACACUUUAUUGUGAUAACAAAGCCGCAAUAAGCAUAGCAAAUAACCCAGUUUAACAUGAUAGAACAAAGCAUGUGGAGAUUGAUCGGCAUUUCAUCAAGGAAAGACUUGAUAGUGGCAACAUUUGUGUUCCUUAUAUUCCUUCCAACCAACAAAUUGCAGAUGUCCUAACAAAGGGACUGCCCAGACAGUUGUUUGACUCGUGUGUGAGCAAGUUGGGUCUUAUUGACAUUUACGCCCCAACUUGAGGGAGAGUGUUGAAAUUAGGGUUUUUUACUCUAGAGGCAUUUUUGUCUUUAUACUUGUACCCUGGGGUUUCUCUUUUUCUAUUUAAACUGGCAGUCAACUGUGUAUUCUGUGUAUCAGUCAUAUAAUAAAAAUUUCUUCUUCCCGUGGUU